UACGUAGGUGGCAAGCGUUGUCCGGAAUUACUGGGUGUAAAGGGCGUGUAGGCGGGAGUGUAAGUCAGUUGUGAAAGCCCAUGGCUUAACUGUGGGACUGCAUCUGAAACUAUGCUUCUUGAGUGCUGGAGAGGAAAGCGGAAUUCCUAGUGUAGCGGUGAAAUGCGUAGAGAUUAGGAGGAACACCAGUGGCGAAGGCGGCUUUCUGGACAGUAACUGACGCUGAGGCGCGAAAGCGUGGGGAGCAAACAGG
rnacentral:rRNA from 1 species